rnacentral:lncRNA from 1 species
CAUAUAUCUAGUUUAUACAUAGUUGUUUAUACAUUGUCUGCCCCAGUAGAAGGGGAUUGUGAACUCCUUAAAAACAGGGCUGUUUUCUUUGGAUUUUGUUUUUGUUUUUGUUUUUGUCUUUCUGUUGAACAACCAUCAUUUAGCACAGUCCCUGGCACAUAGUAGUUGCUCAGCAAAUUCUAAUUGAUUCACUAUUUUUGCCUCUUUUGUUUCCCCAGUGCUUAGCAUAGUGUCUUGCACACAGUUGGUACUUAAUGCAUGCAUAUUUGCUCCUGAUUAAUUGAAUGAUUACUCCCAGAGCUAACAACAAGGGACAUAUUUCAGGGCCUUGUAUCAGAUGAAGAUUCAAGGGAAGAUAAUAAAUAGACUCAGGAACAGAGACUAGAAGAUGGGCAGGUACAAGUGGUAGCACUGGCUUGGAGCAGCCACAGAGACUAAGGACCUACUGACCAGUAUGACCAACUCGAUGACCAAGCUCCAAGCUCUUUUCCUAUGCAAAUGGGAGUAGUUGAGGAGCUAGAGUGAGAUUGGAGAAAUUCCAACCAAUCAGUUCCAAAACCAAUUAGUAUGGAUGACUCUGGAUGGAUCCUGUUAUGAGUUCACCCCUUCAGGUGAUUGAAUUUAGGAGGGAGAUUCCUCCCCUUCUUUAGUCAGUUGGAUAUUUGAUUAGCGAUCUUCCCAGGGGAUGAGGGAAAGGAGAGUAAUGAACUUGCUCUGUUUGGCCAGACCAUUUUGAGACCAGAGUACAUUUCUAAUAUGAUGUCUUCAAAAUAUCUAGGUUUAAAGGGGAGGCAUUUUUAGGAUUAGAUCCUUGAUAUUCCUAAAGCCAUUCUAACAGAUUUCUCUUUUAUAACACAGGAAGUAAUAUUUUUGUUUUCAAUUUAUUUUAGAUUACAUUACUAAGAAAGAGUAUAACCUAAAUUUGUAUCUAUUCCAAAGAUUUCAACUCGUACAUUCUUAUAAAUGUAAGGUUCAGAAGUGGGAUUAAAACUUGCAUCCCUUGUCCUUUUCCUUCCAGGAGAUACUUUUCCUUCCAGGAGAUUCGAUUGGCAAGACUUCCAGGAUUCCUCAUGACUCCAGCUUGGAGAAAAUUGUGAUGGCUUCAAGAAGAACCUCUAAUGGUCCUAUCCACCAAGUGUUCAGUGGUCACGCUGUGCUGGAUCCUAAGGAAACAGAAAAUUUAGCUCAUCGGAAAACACAUUAAAUAAACAAAGAUAAAAACAAAAUUGCUGCUGCCUUCUAGAAUUGCAUUAAAAAGCAAUCAAUAUGGUCAAGGGGCUGAAGGUCCACUUUGUGAAGCUAGGCUAUACCUAAAGCUUAAGACCC